UUAACCAGGUUUUCCGAAGGAAAAAACUGGUUAUUAGAUUGGCGAAUGCGGGCGGGCUGGCUGGCUGGCUGGCUGGCGGGCUGGCUGGCGGGCUGGCGGAACAAGCUUGUCCGGGCCAUAACUAUGUCGUUCAUUGUCAGAUUUUAAAAUCAUUUGGCACAUUUGUUCACCAUCAUUGGACGGUGUGUCGCCCGAAAUAAUUACGUCGAUAUCUCCAAGGUCAAGGUCACACUUUGAGUUCAAAGGUCAAAAAUGGCCAUAAAUGAGCUUGUCCUGGCCAUAACUAUGUCAUUCAUUGUGAGAUUUUAAAAUCAUUUGGCACAUUUGUUCACCAUCAUGGGACGGUGUGUCGCACGAAAGAAUCACGUCAAUAUCUCCAAUGUCAAGGUCGCCACGACUAAAAAUAGAUUU